CGGGGUGUAGCUCAGAUGGUAGAGCGCGCGCUUAGCAUGCGCGAGGUACCGGGAUCGAUACCCGGCACCCUCC
rfam:Ciona savignyi cont_7290, whole genome shotgun sequence.